GAUGAACGCUAGCUACAGGCUUAACACAUGCAAGUCGAGGGGAAACGCCAUCGCAAGCUUGCUUUUGAUGGGCGUCGAACGGCGCACGGGUGAGUAACGCGUAUCCAACCUGCCCAUCACUUGGGGAUAACCUUGCGAAAGUAAGACUAAUACCCAAUGAUAUCUCUAGAAGACAUCUGAAAGAGAUUAAAGAUUUAUCGGUGAUGGAUGGGGAUGCGUCUGAUUAGCUUGUUGGCGGGGUAACGGCCCACCAAGGCAACGAUCAGUAGGGGUUCUGAGAGGAAGGUCCCCCACAUUGGAACUGAGACACGGACCAAACUCCUACGGGAGGCAGCAGUGAGGAAGAUUGGGCAAGGGGCGAGAGCCUGAACCAACCAAGUAGCGUGCAGGAAGACGGCCCUAUGGGUUGUAAACUGCUUUUAUAAGGGAAUAAAGUGAGAGUCGUGACUCUUUUUGUAUGUACCUUAUGAAUAAGAACCGGCUAAUUCCGUG
rnacentral:rRNA from 1 species